AGUCGAACGGAACUGUUUUGAAAGAUUUCUUCGGAAUGAAUUUGAUUUAGUUUAGUGGCGGACGGGUGAGUAACGCGUGAGUAACCUGCCCUCAAGAGGGGGAUAACAUUCUGAAAAGAAUGCUAAUACCGCAUGACAUAUCGGAAUCACAUGAUUUUGAUAUCAAAGAUUUUAUCGCUUGAAGAUGGACUCGCGUCCGAUUAGUUAGUUGGUGAGGUAACGGCUCACCAAGACCGCGAUCGGUAGCCGGACUGAGAGGUUGAACGGCCACAUUGGGACUGAGACACGGCCCAGACUCCUACGGGAGGCAGCAGUGGGGGAUAUUGCGCAAUGGGGGCAACCCUGACGCAGCAACGCCGCGUGAAGGAUGAAGGUUUUCGGAUUGUAAACUUCUUUUAUUAAGGACGAAACUUGACGGUACUUAAUGAAUAAGCUCCGGCUAACUACGUGCCAGCAGCCGCGGUAAUACGUAGGGAGCAAGCGUUGUCCGGAUUUACUGGGUGUAAAGGGUGCGUAGGCGGCUUUGCAAGUCAGAUGUGAAAUCUAUGGGCUCAACCCAUAAACUGCAUUUGAAACUGUAGAGCUUGAGUGAAGUAGAGGCAGGCGGAAUUCCCCGUGUAGCGGUGAAAUGCGUAGAGAUGGGGAGGAACACCAGUGGCGAAGGCGGCCUGCUGGGCUUUAACUGACGCUGAGGCACGAAAGCGUGGGUAGCAAACAGGAUUAGAUACCCUGGUAGUCCACGCUGUAAACGAUGAUUACUAGGUGUGGGGGGUCUGACCCCUUCCGUGCCGGAGUUAACACAAUAAGUAAUCCACCUGGGG
rnacentral:rRNA from 1 species